UACGGGGGGGGCAAGCGUUGUUCGGAAUUACUGGGCGUAAAGGGCGCGUAGGCGGCCCGCUAAGUCAGACGUGAAAUCCCUCGGCUCAACCGGGGAACUGCGUCUGAUACUGGCAGGCUUGAAUCCGGGAGAGGGAUGUGGAAUUCCAGGUGUAGCGGUGAAAUGCGUAGAUAUCUGGAGGAACACCGGUGGCGAAGGCGGCAUCCUGGACCGACACUGACGCUGAGGAGCGAAAGCCAGGGGAGCAAACGGG
rnacentral:rRNA from 1 species